rnacentral:piRNA from 1 species
UACCUGAAAAACAUAGUGAGCGAGCUACCC